CGGCCGCUCCCUGCGCUGGGGGCUGCUGCCGCUGGUGCCGGCCGCGUUCUGGGUCAGCGCGAGCGGGCUCGGAUGCCUGCGCGGCUGGC
rnacentral:tRNA from 1 species